CCUGCUAGGAGGAAUCUCAACCUGUCUAUCGGGACCUACAGUCAUAAAACGCAGCAUCCCCAGGAAAAAAGGACGUCAGUACAAAUAAAGUACCGAGUAUGUAAGGCAUGACAAUAGUAUGUAAAAGACAUGAAAGAAACAUGGAGUAAAGAACUCAGCCUGUAAUUCUGAAUAGCUCUGUGAAUCAUGAAAAAUUUAUAAUGUCAUGCAUGUACAUAUAAAUGCCAUACCAUGCAUAUGUAUAUGCGUACAUAACAUCAUCAAGCCUCUGAGGGCAUUCCAUCAUAUCAUCUCAUCCACUAUAGGAGAAAUCAUUAAUGUAUACCAGUAGAUCAGGUGGUGGUACGUAUAUAACGCCAUAUCCUUUUACCAUAUCCCAUAUACAUAUAAUAUAUGCGUAUAUAACACCAUCUGAUCAUGGGUCAAUGUGCAUGUAUAAAUGAAUGCAAUGCAUAAUGAAGUAAGUCAGUAAGAUUUCUCAGAAUGUCAUAAGAUCAAUAUGCCUUCGGAUAAACUUUAGCAACUUACGUAUUUUUCUGAUACCCAUGAACAGAAGAUAUAAUAAUAGGACACAUGGGGAAUCAAAAACAUAGGCACCCCUAGUACUUCUAUGAAUAGAGUCAUUUAUGAAAGUUUUGCGUUUGCACGUUUCAUUUGUAUCAUAUGAAUCAUGCCAAAAGGAAAGAAUGGAUAGCCUUAACAUACCUUAACUCCAUUGAGUCCUUAAUACCUUCCAAGCAAUUUUUCAAACAACUCAACUCAAUCUACCAUAGCAUAAGGAGAUUCAAAAUCAGUGUUGAGUAAAGGCUAAGUCCGCAACUUAAACUAGUAGCUCAUUUAUGUAAAUUUGGGCAGCAUCUCCCCUGUAACAAGAGCCUCCUCCAAUACCAUAUGCCAACAACAAUGACCAGAGAAAACCAGCAAUACAUAAUUAUCAAUAACAAGACAUCAUAUAACAACAAGUCACAACUACUUCACGACGAGCUACAAGCCCAAUUGGAAUUCGUAUACCCCAUAUCAUCCCUUAUAGACUUCUUACUUUAACUUACUAGUAUCAUUAACAUGAUAAUGAAGUCACUCAUCAAUGAUUCCAGCCUUAUACCAUAUAUUUAUAACAAAGAAAACAAUCCACAACUCCAAUUUUCCUCAAUUAAUAACUUUAUUCACUAGUUCAUGUCUAGUCCGUCCAUUUAACUUAAUCAAUGUCAAGAUUACCUUAAGCACAUGCAAGAACGCAAUAUACACACCUCUUACAGUAGAUUAAAGUCGAAAUUCAAGUUAUAUUUAGCUUACAAUAGCCCUCAAUGGCAAUACAACACCAUAGAAGUGACAUAAGCUAAUCUUCACUUCUAAUCUCAAGUUUCGUAUGCUUCUUUCACCAAUUCACUUGAUAAACAUAUGGACAUAUAUAAAAACAGAAACCAUAUCAUAAUCAAGUUAUCCCUAUUUUCCAGCUAUUUAUAGUUCGUGGAAACAACCUUUCCAAAACAGUCAAAUAAAACCCAUAACAUCUCAAACUAUUUCAAGUCUUCUCUUGUAGUAGUUUGCUCAAAUAAUGCAACCAACACACCAACAACUUCAAGUACAUGUUGUAGGAUUUUAUACUCAUCUUAAACAGUAGAAACAAUACAAAAUUUCAGCCAAGCACAGCCCACAACUAUCCUCAAUAACACCAUAACACUAUAGGUGUUGUAUUCUCUUCUUGAAUCAACUUUUGGUGUUCAAGUUGGUGUAUAAAUACUUGUAGUUCGCCUUGAAAAUCUAAUAUAUAUGAAGGAGGAACUGAUUAUUACCUUAAUCAACAAGAACAACAUGAAAUCUGAGGUUACUUACCUUUGAAGAACCCUCCAAAACAGUCAUAAGACAAAAAACUACGAUCUAGCAAGCACCACGGGAUUUCUAGCAUUGGAUUCAUGUUUUCAUCUUAGGUUCUCACCCUGGAAUUAUGGAGGAACCAUUGGAGAGCAUUUAGGAGGAUUUAG
rnacentral:lncRNA from 1 species